rnacentral:rRNA from 1 species
UUGAAAUAUAUAUAAAGUCUAACCUGCCCACUGAAAUUUUUAAAUGGCCGCAGUAUUUUGACUGUGCAAAGGUAGCAUAAUCAUUAGUUUUUUAAUUAAAAGCUUGUAUGAAAGGUUGGACGAAGUAAAAUCUGUCUCUAUUUAAUUUAAAUUAGAAUUUAAUUUUUAAGUUAAAAAGCUUAAAUUUUUAUAAAAGACGAGAAGACCCUAUAGAACUUUAUAAUUUAUUUAAUAUAAUUAAUUAAGAUUUAUUUAAGUUUUAUUAUAUAUAAUUAUUUUAUUGGGGUAAUAGAAAGAUUAAAAAAAUUCUUUUUUUUUAUUAACAUUUAUUUAUGAUAAUAUUAUUAAUGAUCCAUUUUUAAUGAUUAUAAGAUUAAGUUACCUUAGGGAUAACAGCGUAAUUUUUUUAAAGAGUUCAUAUCGAUAAAAAAGUUUGCGACCUCGAUGUUGGAUUAAAGAUUAAUUUAGGUGUAGAAGUUUAAAUUUUUGGUCUGUUCGACCAUUAAAUCUUUACAUGAUCUGAGUUCAGACCGGUGUAAGCCAGGUCGGUUUCUAUCUUUAUUAAAUUUAAAUAUUUUAGUACGAAAGGACCAAAUAUUUGAUAUAUUAAUAUUUAUUUUUUGAAUAUUAUUAAUUAUUUUGGCAGAUUAGUGCAAUGAAUUUAGAAUUCAUAUAUGUAAUUAUUUUUACAAGUAAUACUUGUUUUAUAUAGAUUUAUUAUUUUCUUUAAUUUUUAGAUUAUUAUUGAUUAUUUGUGUUUUAGUUGGGGU